CCAACAGUGUACUCAUUUCCUGGCUUCAGCAAGCAUUAGUACUGUACGUUUUUCUGGCCCUUUACUGGGGGAGUUCCAAACCUUCUGAAAACCUGAAGUCCCACCUCCAGCUCCACCCCCCACGCCUGUAUCCGGUCUUUCAGUCUCGUUUUCCCCACUAUUUCUCAGAGUUGCCAAGUUGGGUCUUCCUCUCAACCCCUGGACGACCUCUCUCGCUGCACUACAGAUUUCCUUGACAUUCUCUCGAACAGACACCACAGCCCCGCUGGCACCACCGUUUUCCCUGUUCGCUCUCUCUCACACAUAUCAAAUCUAUACUCUCACCCCAUUCUGAAAGAUAACCCCAACUCGGAGACCCUCUGAGAAGGAGGUUCCCUCCCAACAAUCCAUUCCCUUUUCUCCUACUUAAAUUAUCUCUAUAUUCCACCCUCUGAUGGGUCUCCUCAAACCGAAGCGCUAGGUUAAAGAUAUUUCACCCCAAGUCCCCUCCUUCUCACCCCACCCUAACUUCCCCCAUUCUCUCUCAGUGACCUGUAACCAAUCGUGAGCUCCACGCUGGGCUCUCCCGAUUCCUCUCAGAUCCCAGCCCCGAGUCCAGUCCUUCCCCUAAAUGAGCUUCCCGCCAAGUCCCCCUCCCCCAGUUCAGCCCCUGGCCGCCCCACUCCCCUUCAGGGAUAGGAAGGAGGAUCCCACAGCCUGCCCCUCAGACUCCGCGCCGGGGACUCCCCAGUACCUCUCCCUCGACAGUCCUGCCCCCGCCUUCGCUCCCCACACCGUCCGGCCCCCACCUCAGAAACGGUCUCUCGAGGCGACCCUCUCCGCGGAUCUCAGAACCUCGCAUGGUUCCCUCCGUCUUCCUUCCCCCUCCCACCGCAGGCCCCACUCCGUACCGGAAGCCGCGGAGCUUCCGCCCACACGCUCUGGGCGCGGCCAUAUUGUCGCACGGAAUCCUGUGCCGCCGUCAGGCAGGAAGGGAGGGAGGGCCGCCCCUCCUAGAGCCUCCCCUGCCGCCCACCUAGUCUGCGGCUCCUUUCACCCUGACCUGCAGGGGGAGGAUUUGUCGCCUCCGGGCGUCCGAAGUACCUGGGGGCCGCCAUUUUGCCGUACGGCUCUGGCUGCGCCGGGAGCGGGGCACGCCGUCAGUGGAGCUCUUUUCACCCGGUGCUUCCGCGACUCCGCCAAUCAGAAACUUCCCGCAUCCCGGCCCAACCACCGCUAG
rnacentral:lncRNA from 1 species